GGCGCGCGGUACUCACCGCGGGGGAGCCGCCCGGCUGCCGGUGGCCUCACGGAGCUCCAGGCCGCGGGUGGCCGCUCUGACUGCACCCCUGCGGAACGCGGGCGCCUCCAGUGUGAAGCUGGGAGGCGCGGGACUCUCCCCUCUCCUCCCGCCCCCCCCUCCACUGCGCGGGGACCCCCGUGCGCCCUGAGAUGCCUUCCGCCACUGCUCCGGGGCAGCCUGAGACCUCUCCGGAGUCCCUCACCUCCCCCGGGACUCUCUCGGGUCCCUCUGGGUCUCACCUUAUCCUCUCCCCAGGGGACCCCCUCGUCGCUGCGCCGGGUCUCCCGUGACCUUUUCCUCAGGGUCCCUUCAGCUGCCUGCGCCAAAACCCCUCGCCGCGCGGGCCCCCAUCCUCCCACCUACCCUCUCUCCUCUCUCCCGCGACUCUCCAUUUCCCAUUCGAAUCAUCCCCCGACAGGCCGCCCUGAUCCCACACCCGCGCCCUUGACUCCCCACUGGCAGCUCCACCUCGCCCCUGGGCGCUUGCCCUUCCCUGGCUCCCGUUCACCCAGGGCUCUUGGCUUCUUCCCUGAGAACUCCCUUCUUCCUCCCAAGCCUACUGUGGACUCCCAGCUCAGAACCUCCUGCUCCCUCGCAAGCGCCCCACCCACCCCGCUCUCCAUACCUGCUUUGCCCCCGAGGCCAGAGGCAGCCAAGCUCGAGGACCCACCUGGGACUGGGGACACUUGUACGUUUUCAUAGGAGCUGGAUCUAGCAAGCUGAGUCCUGGAGGCAGGGGCCCUGGGAUAGGCCCUGGCAGGGGUGAGGAUAAGGAACAACCCCAGCUUGUGCACCUCAGGAAGAGCCUGUAGCACUGACUGCUCCAGGGAGCAGGGAGUGGAGUACCUGCCCUGCCAGAGACGCCCAACCGCAGGGGCUGCUGCUGGUGUGGGAAGAGGGAUUUUAAGUUACAGAUAUAAAUCUUAGACUAGAGGUCGGAGAAAUGUUUUGUCUGGCCCAUACAGUGUUUUGAGGACAAGGACAGGAAUUGCAGGAGAGAUCCUGCCCCUGUAUUUGCAGGCAAUGAGAGGGUGUUGUCUGUAGAGAAUUUUUUUAAAAAGCCAACUAAAAAUGAGUCUCCUUUUUACCAUGUUCCAACAAUUCUAAACAAUGUCAGUGGUAAAACAGUCCUCUCUGAGAAAUCUUUUGUAGAUCUGAGUACUAAAUUGCUGUGGCUACUGAUGAGUUAUAAUAAUAUAUAAGUUUCAAAUUAGCACAUUUGUAUUACUUGCCCUUUAAAAAACAUUGUAAUCUACAUGAAAAUUAAUCCAGAGAACUCCCAGUUACACGAGAUCGGCCUCUCACACAAGCAGAUUCAUCUAUGUGUGUUUAUAUUUAGAAUUGGUUCUUAAGAUCUGGAAUUGCUCAAGUUUGCCUUGGGUGCAGUUUCUAUUUCCAACUCCCAAGGUAUUGCAUAUUCCUGCAUUUAAUCAGCAGAUUUAAAAUAAACAAUGACAGCACAAUAAUUGUAAAGUCAAAAAAGAAAAAGUGACUUGAGUUAUUUAAUUAUGUCAUUCUAGGUUACAACUUGUUUUUAUUUAUGUUGAACAUUUUUGGAAUGUAUUGUGAAAUGGGAUUUUUAUGAAUCUUUGUCAAAUAUCCCUAGGUUUAAGACUUUUCCAACAAGACAAAGUGAACAAAACAGCAGGAGACUCAUAGACACUGAGAAGGGACUUGUGGUUACCAAGGGGGAGGGAUUGGGGUGAGUAAGUGAGGAGGGUGAGGGGGAUAAAGGGGCACAAAAAUUCUCAAUCAUAAUAUAAGCUGGCCAUGGGAAUGGUAGUGUUACUGGAAAAAAACGGAAAACCUGGACUGGAUCGCUGACUGAAGAACCAAGCGGCACUGGGAGGUCUUGGAGGGCUGAGGUUUUAUUUUACACCGGCGGGCUCAGAGGAGAAUAAAUCUCCAAAGAUCUGAGCCCCGAACAAAGGCAAGGGGAGCAAUUUAUAUCCUUCUGCUUCCAUGUCUGUAACAUUUCUACAUGCGCAGCAAGUAGGGUGACAAAGGAGUUUGGGGGAGUGAGGAUGAAGGGGAGGGGGGACCAGGAAUGUUUGAGUGUUUCUUUUGAGAAGCAGAGAGGGCCACCUGGACUCGAUCGCUGACCUUGUAAAUGUUAAAUGUUUUACUUAAAUGUUUUCCUUAUCAGUAAGUAUGGAGAAUAUAGCCAAUGAUUCUGUAACAUCUUUCUGUGUUGCAGAUAGUAACUACACUAUUGGGGGUGAGGAUAUAAUAAUGUGGGUAACUGUUGAACUACUGUGUUGUAUACUUGAAACUAAUGUAAAGAUUUGUAUAUCAAUUCUACUUCAAUAAAUAAAUAAAUCAUAAACUGAUUUUUCUUUAAAAAAGUAUUUUCCUAAUGAUUUGUAAGUCUGCUUCAUGUGAAAGAAACUUCUUGAAAUGAGAAUUAAUGAAAAGUAUUCUUUGGUCAACUAUGAGUGAAGACUGACAAAUCUGGCUGUAUUCUCUAUUGAAAUGAAUAUGCAAAGAUUACUUUUAACAGAUCUGCAGAAGUUAACUUCAAAAAAAGAUGUUGUAAUGUUAUUCAUCACUCAGACAAAUAUGUAGGUAUAACUUUUCUCAAAAAAUACAAUAAUUAACAAAUAUUAACCCCCCUUUUUCCUUUUCCAUUAUUUUUCUGUAAUGUUUAACUUUGAAUUUUUAACUAUACAUUUUUUA